rnacentral:rRNA from 1 species
GAUGAACGCUAGCGGCAGGCUUAACACAUGCAAGUCGAGGGGUAGUCUAGCAAUAGAUGAGACCGGCGCACGGGUGCGUAACGCGUAUGCAAUCUACCUUUUACAGAGGGAUAGCCCAGAGAAAUUUGGAUUAAUACCUCAUAGUAUAACGACUCGGCAUCGAGAUGUUAUUAAAGUUCCAACGGUAAAAGAUGAGCAUGCGUCCCAUUAGCUAGUUGGUGUGGUAACGGCACACCAAGGCAACGAUGGGUAGGGGUCCUGAGAGGGAGAUCCCCCACACUGGUACUGAGACACGGACCAGACUCCUACGGGAGGCAGCAGUGAGGAAUAUUGGUCAAUGGGCGCAAGCCUGAACCAGCCAUGCCGCGUGCAGGAUGACGGUCCUAUGGAUUGUAAACUGCUUUUGUACAGGAAGAAACACUCCCUCGUGAGGGAGCUUGACGGUACUGUAAGAAUAAGGAUCGGCUAACUCCGUGCCAGCAGCCGCGGUAAUACGGAGGAUCCAAGCGUUAUCCGGAAUCAUUGGGUUUAAAGGGUCCGUAGGCGGGUUUAUAAGUCAGUGGUGAAAGCCCAUCGCUCAACGAUGGAACGGCCAUUGAUACUGUAGAUCUUGAAUUAUUAGGAAGUAACUAGAAUAUGUAGUGUAGCGGUGAAAUGCUUAGAGAUUACAUGGAAUACCANUUGCGAAGGCAGGUUACUACUAAUGGAUUGNCGCUGAUGGACGAAAGCGUGGGUAGUGAACAGGAUUAGAUACCCUGGUAGUCCACGCCGUAACGAUGGAUACUAGCUGUUCGGAGCAAUCUGAGUGGNUAAGCGAAAGUGAUAAGUAUCCCACCUGGGGAGUACGUUCGCAAGAAUGAA